rnacentral:rRNA from 1 species
UACGGGGGGGGCAAGCGUUGUUCGGAAUUACUGGGCGUAAGGGGCUCGUAGGCGGCCAACUACGUCCGACGUGAAAUCCCCAAGCUUAACUUGGGAACUGCGUCGGAUACUGGAUGGCUUGAAUUCGGGAGAGGGAUGCAGAAUUCCAGGUGUAGCGGUGAAAUGCGUAGAUAUCUGGAGGAAUACCGGUGGCGAAGGCGGCAUCCUGGACCGACAUUGACGCUGAGGAGCGAAAGCUAGGGGAGCAAACGGG